CGGAACAAAGCCGAACCUCCUCCCUCCCGGAACAAAACCACGCGAGGCGUCGCGAGUCUACGACGCGAAAUCAGGAGGCGGCGGCGCGAGGCGACGGCGACGGCGCGGCGGCGCGGCGGCAACGGCGACGGCGCAGCGGCGCGGCACUCCGCCGUCUUCUCGCCGAUUGUACCAGCAGUUCCUAGAAUUGGUGAAGACGAGCCACCUCCUUCCUGGGACCCGUUUUGACUCCGAAAGCUCAAGAACACAUCUGACAAGAAGAAGAGGUUUCAAGGUCUAAGUUAUACCUUAUCCAUGUCACCUAUAUAUAUAGUGGGCUAAAUAAUGGAGCUUGUUUCGGCCGAGGAGUUCAAUGUUACUAUGUUUGCAAUUUUGGAUCAGUACGUUACUUCUCUAGCAUAUUGUCACCUCGUUGAGACCUAGUUCUGUUUUGCCAUAACGUGCUCUUUCUAUCUUUAUACCUUAUAUGGCAGUCAAAGGUUUUCUUUCUGUAAACGAAUGCUUGAAUCAUUUGUUGACUAGUGCUUUGAUACUGCUUGCUCCAGGCUCAAAUAGUGCUUGCUCCAGCAUGUGUUUGCUUUGAUAUGGCAGUAUGUAUUAUAUAUUUUGUGAUCACUCCAGAAUGUGCUUUCUUUGAUAGUGCUUUGAAUGCACUACGGAAUGUGAAAGUUUGUAUUAUAUA